rnacentral:rRNA from 1 species
GACGAACGCUGGCGGCGUGCUUAACACAUGCAAGUCGAACGGAAAGGCCCUGCUUUUGUGGGGGGCUCGAGUGGCGAACGGGUGAGUAACACGUGAGUAACCUGCCCUUGACUUUGGGAUAACUUCAGGAAACUGGGGCUAAUACCGGAUAGGAGCUCCUGCUGCAGGGGGGGGGUUGGAAAGUUUCGGCGGUUGGGGAGGGACUCGCGGCUUAUCAGCUUGUUGGUGGGGUAGUGGCUUACCAAGGCUUUGACGGGUAGCCGGCCUGAGAGGGUGACCGGCCACAUUGGGACUGAGAUACGGCCCAGACUCCUACGGGAGGCAGCAGUGGGGAAUAUUGCACAAUGGGCGGAAGCCUGAUGCAGCAACGCCGCGUGCGGGAUGACGGCCUUCGGGUUGUAAACCGCUUUCGCCUGUGACGAAGCGUGAGUGACGGUAAUGGGUAAAGAAGCACCGGCUAACUACGUG